rnacentral:lncRNA from 1 species
GUUUUGGUUGGCUUGUUUACAUCCAGCCAGAUACCACAGCUGAGUAUCCUCUAAGACUGCAGGUCUUGAACUGGGAAAAAGGAGAGAUAAAUCAGCUUCUGGAUUAUAUCCCUUCCACUGUAGUUUGUAACUUCAAACACAAUGAGCAGUGGAGGUAGCUUAGGGGGAAGUUUAGAGGUUUCACAGUGGCUUGCAGAAGGACUCCACAGGAAGGGUCCAGUACAUGAAGAACUGUCUACUCCCUUCUUCGAAGGAACGAACUUACUAAAAAACAGGCCCACUAGGUACCACUGUCAUGUCACUAACGCAUCAUAAUCAAGUGCCAAAGGUCAGAUGAAAAUCCAACUAAGUGCGCCAAUGUGUAUGCUGUAGUUUUUAUAUUUAUUUUAUCCAAAUAAAUAUUCAUAGGAGUCUAAUCCCCUCCCAAAAUAACAUCAUUGCCCACUUGUCCCCAUGGCCACUCUUUAGUCAUGCAGAUGGAGGUUCUUACAGGCCCUACUAGUGCCAUUAUUGAGGCAUCAGGCAUAAGCCUGCAUUUUAUUAAUGUUUGAUCAGGGCUUGUAUAUUAAAGAGGGCUUAGAUUUUUAAAAGUUUCAUGCCAGGCAAGAAGGCUAGCUGCUUAAGAAAACACUGACAGUGUUUUCUUCCUAGACAAGGGGCCCCUUGAUUGAUAGCAGAAAACAAUUCUCAAAGUCAUAAAAGCUGAAAUUACAGACUGAGUAAGGACACUGACCCUAUAUGUUAUAGAAGAUAAAAAAGGCAGAGAUAAACAUAAUUAAUAGUUGGUAAAUAGUAAAAUAAUGCCAAUGUGCCUCCCAGUAAAAUGAGCCAGAUCUUCUUUCUAAGGUUAAAAGGCCAAGACCAAAUGGAGAAGCAUCUGGCUGGCAGAAAGAGAGGCUUUUUGGGAAGUCUUUUUAAAGCUGUUUUCUUUCUUAAACUGAGAGAGUUUGAGGAAGAGCUAAUGGAAACAAAGCAGCUGGCUGAAGGGGGGGGGAUGUAAACUAAAGAGGUUUCUUCUGAAACUGUUUUAAACUGAGUUCCCUUUUCUACUUCUACUUUACAAAGGCCUUAUUCCUUUUAAAAGGCUACCUAUGUUAUGUAUUGUCUUAAAUGUAAUUAUGCAAAGGAUUUAACAAAUGCUAGAAGAGUUGUAUUUAUCUUGAAAUUAAGUCAGCCACCAGCCCAGCCCUCUUGCCAGACAAGAAGACGCCAUCCGGGCAGUCUUGAUAUAUAGCUGUCAGACAUUUGUUUAGAAACCUUCAAAUGAAGUAGAUCUUUCAAUGUUGAUGUGAAACUCAAGAUCCUUGACAUAUGUUUAAGAUAAAAAUUUAAGAUUAACCAUUUGUUUUAGAAGGCAAUAGGGCAAGGAGGGCAAGAGGUGAGCUGGUAAUUAAGAUUCCUUGUUGAGACACAUGUAAGAUAUAUUACUACUUAUUUGUCAUUUAUAGAUGUAACAAUAUAUAGCUCUUUGUCCUCCAUAUAAGGACAGGAGGAUAUGGGUGUAUCUUUUUGUGAUUGGUUCUAGCAAUCAGCCAAUAGGAAAUCCAACCAGGCUGAUUGGACAGAGGCAGCCCAAGGAGGAGCAAAGGGGGCUGGAUUAAGGGAAUAUAAGUGCUGGCCAUAAUGGCAGGAGGCCAGGCCAGAGCUUGGUAACCAUAUACCACUGUGCCUCUCAUUUAUUUGUCUGACAAAUAAAUUAUUAUUUUAAUUUCUAUAUUGCUGCGUUGAAUAUUUCAUUCCAGCUAAGCGUUAACCACAAGCAGGGUGCUACAUUAUCUUAACCAAGACACUGGAUUGCCCCCUUCAGUGAU